GACGAACGCUGGCGGCGUGCUUAACACAUGCAAGUCGAACGGAAAGGCCCUGCUUUUGUGGGGUGCUCGAGAGGCGAACGGGUGAGUAACACGUGAGUAACCUGCCCUUGACUUUGGGAUAACUUCAGGAAACUGGGGCUAAUACCGGAUAGGAGCUCCUGCUGCAUGGUGGGGGUUGGAAAGUUUCGGCGGUUGGGGAUGGACUCGCGGCUUAUCAGCUUGUUGGUGGGGUAGUGGCUUACCAAGGCUUUGACGGGUAGCCGGCCUGAGAGGGUGACCGGCCACAUUGGGACUGAGAUACGGCCCAGACUCCUACGGGAGGCAGCAGUGGGGACUAUUGCACAAUGGGCGGAAGCCUGAUGCAGCAACGCCGCGUGCGGGAUGACGGCCUUCGGGUUGUAAACCGCUUUCGCCUGUGACGAAGCGUGAGUGACGGUAAUGGGUAAAGAAGCACCGGCUAACUACGU
rnacentral:rRNA from 1 species